UACGUAGGGUGCGAGCGUUGUCCGGAAUUACUGGGCGUAAAGAGCUCGUAGGUGGUUUGUCGCGUUGUUCGUGAAAACCGGGGGCUUAACCCUCGGCGUGCGGGCGAUACGGGCAGACUUGAGUACUGCAGGGGAGACUGGAAUUCCUGGUGUAGCGGUGGAAUGCGCAGAUAUCGGGAAGAACACCCGUGGCGAAGGCGGUUCUCUGGGACGGUACUGACGCUGAGACGCGAAAGCGUGGGGAGCGAACAGG
rnacentral:rRNA from 1 species